GCAGUUAGCUCAGUGGUAGAGUGCAUGCUUUGUGUGUAUGAUGUCCUGGGUUCAAUCCCCAGCUUCA
rnacentral:tRNA from 1 species